rnacentral:rRNA from 1 species
AUUGAACGCUGGCGGCAUGCCUAACACAUGCAAGUCGAACGGCAGCAUGGUCUAGUUUACUAGAUUGAUGGCAAGUGGCGGACGGGUGAGUAACGCGUAGGAAUAUGCCUUAAAGAGGGGGAUAACUUGGGGAAACUCAAGCUAAUACCGCGUAAUCUCUGAGGAGAAAAGCUGGGGACCUUCGGGCCUGGCGCUUUAAGAAUAGCCUGCGUACGAUUAGCUAGUUGGUGGGGUAAGGGCCUACCAAGGCGACGAUCGUUAGCUGGUCUGAGAGGAUGGCCAGCCACACUGGGACUGAGACACGGCCCAGACUCCUACGGGAGGCAGCAGUGGGGAAUAUUGGACAAUGGGGGGAACCCUGAUCCAGCAAUGCCGCGUGUGUGAAGAAGGCCUGAGGGUUGUAAAGCACUUUCAGUGGGGAGGAGGGUUGAUUGGUUAAGAGCUGAUUGAUUGGACGUUACCCACAGAAGAAGCACCGGCUAACUCCGUGCCAGCCGCCGCCGUAA